rnacentral:rRNA from 1 species
UAAGGAAUAUUGGACAAUGGGCGAAAGCCUGAUCCAGCAAUGCCGCGUGAGUGAUGAAGGCCUUCGGGUUGUAAAGCUCUUUCAGUAGGGAAGAUAAUGACGGUACCUACAGAAGAAGCCCCGGCUAACUUCGUGCCAGCAGCCGCGGUAAUACGAAGGGGGCGAGCGUUGUUCGGAAUUACUGGGCGUAAAGCGCGCGUAGGCGGCUUGCCAAGUCGGAAGUGAAAGCCCAAGGCUCAACCUUGGAAUUGCUUUCGAAACUGGCAAGCUAGAGAAUGGUAGGGGAUAGUGGAAUUCCUGGUGUAGAGGUGAAAUUCGUAGAUAUCAGGAGGAACACCGGUGGCGAAAGCGACUAUCUGGACCAUUUCUGACGCUGAGGCGCGAAAGCGUGGGGAGCAAA